rnacentral:rRNA from 1 species
GAGCAACACCGUGCUAGUGAAGAAGGGUUUCGGCUCGUAAAGCUCUGUUGUAAAGAAGAACACNUAUGAGAGUAACUGUUCAUACGUUGACGGUAUUUAACCAGAAAGUCACGGCUAACUACGUGCCAGCAGCCGCGGUAAUACGUAGGUGGCAAGCGUUAUCCGGAUUUAUUGGGCGUAAAGAGAGUGCAGGCGGUUUUCUAAGUCUGAUGUGAAAGCCUUCGGCUUAACCGGAGAAGUGCAUCGGAAACUGGAUAACUUGAGUGCAGAAGAGGGUAGUGGAACUCCAUGUGUAGCGGUGGAAUGCGUAGAUAUAUGGAAGAACACCAGUGGCGAAGGCGGCUACCUGGUCUGCAACUGACGCUGAGACUCGAAAGCAUGGGUAGCGAACAGGAUUAGAUACCCUGGUAGUCCAUGCCGUAAACGAUGAGUGCUAGGUGUUGGAGGGUUUCCGCCCUUCAGUGCCGGAGCUAACGCAUUAAGCACUCCGCCUGGGGAGUACGACCGCAAGGUUGAAACUCAAAGGAAUUGACGGGGGCCCGCACAAGCGGUGGAGCAUGUGGUUUAAUUCGAAGCUACGCGAAGAACCUUACCAGGUCUUGACAUCUUGCGCCAACCCUAGAGAUAGGGCGUUUCCUUCGGGAACGCAAUGACAGGUGGUGCAUGGUCGUCGUCAGCUCGUGUCGUGAGA